GAUCAUGGCUCAGGAUGAACGCUAGCGACAGGCUAACACAUGCAAGUCGAGGGGCAGCAUAAAAGUAGCAAUACUUGGUGGCGACCGGCGCACGGGUGAGUAACGCGUAUGCAACCUACCUAUCGAGAGGGGAAUAACCCGGCGAAAGUCGGACUAAUACCGCAUAAAACAGGGGCACCGCAUGGUGAUAUUUGUUAAAGAAAUUCGCUGAUAGAUGGGCAUGCGUUCCAUUAGGUAGUUGGUGAGGUAACGGCUCACCAAGCCGACGAUGGAUAGGGGAACUGAGAGGUUGGUCCCCCACACUGGUACUGAGACACGGACCAGACUCCUACGGGAGGCAGCAGUGAGGAAUAUUGGUCAAUGGGCGAGAGCCUGAACCAGCCAAGUCGCGUGAAGGAAGAAGGAUCUAUGGUUCGUAAACUUCUUUUGCAGGGGAAUAAAGUGCAGGACGUGUCCUGUUUUGUAUGUACCCUGAGAAUAAGGAUCGGCUAACUCCGUGCCAGCCGCCGC
rnacentral:rRNA from 1 species